UACGAAGGGGGGCUAGCGUUGCUCGGAAUCACUGGGCGUAAAGGGCGCGUAGGCGGACUCUUAAGUCGGGGGUGAAAGCCCAGGGCUCAACCCUGGAAUUGCCUUCGAUACUGAGAGUCUUGAGUUCGGAAGAGGUUGGUGGAACUGCGAGUGUAGAGGUGAAAUUCGUAGAUAUUCGCAAGAACACCAGUGGCGAAGGCGGCCAACUGGUCCGAUACUGACGCUGAGGCGCGAAAGCGUGGGGAGCAAACAGG
rnacentral:rRNA from 1 species